CGCCACGCCUCCUCCUUCUGUUAUUUAAGCUCCGCCUCGUGACGUCAGGAAAGGGGGGAACCAAUGGGAAACAACCUUUAAAAUGAUGCGGGAAAUCCAGGUGUUCCCCGCUGACAGGAAGUAUGAGGAGUAUUAUAGGAAGCUGCGACUCUGGUGCGGAAUGUGAUGUCUGCUGAGUAGCUGCUGCCACAGAAGGAGGAGGACGAUAAUAAAGCGUUGUACCCAGCUUAUGACCGUACUAAGCAUGGACAGCUGUGCUUCCCUCACCUAGGUUACACCUGGGGUCCAACCAACUUCAUUGUGGAUGAUGUGGGAGCUCCAGAUGGACUCCACCUUGGCACUGAGAUGGUGGAUGACUAUAUUCCUUCUAUAAAGUGUGGCCACUACCUCCAUAACGGAGUCUACAGUGUCAUGGUGACUUACAGCUCAGAUGAUGGCAUCAACUGCAGCACUCCAAGGAACAUCUCCCAUGAAAUUGGCACCGAAAUGUUUGCCCUCCAUCCUGGAUCUGGAAUUCAGAAAAGUUUAAUUUAACGAAGGAGGGCCUCAUAGUCUACAGUCUCGGGAUACUGGAAGAUGAUAGGAUGUUCUUAUUUCAAGGAGUGACCAUGGAACAGCUAGCUGGAAAUAGAGAAUAAAUCUGGAGGAGCUUCCAUUCAAACAGUAGUGACUGGGAAAUUCCUGGGAGUGUCAGGUCAGUGGCUUUGACACAUUCGCUGUGUCACUCAUUGCCCACGCUGCUUUCCCUGACCAUGUUCCCCUUUACUCCAUCAGAGCCCUAUGAACUCCCAAAUGGCACCAUGGUCAUUAACUCCUGGAUCCAAUACUUCUAUUACUGCCGCUGCUGCAUUGUAGCCUUCUCUUACCACAGCUAUGACAUGCUUCCUUUGGAAAGAUGGCAGCUGGUGUUUUAAACAAAGGCGACCUCACUUACUUUGUCAACCCAGCUAACCAGGUUUACAGUAAGUAGUCAAUGACUUCACUAUACAUUGGAGCUUCAAUUCUGAGGACCCCUGUGAACAGAAUUACAUUGACAUCUGGCCAGGACCUAGCCGCUACUUCAGCCUCACCAUCCUGAACCAUAAAAUAAAGGAUUAAAAGAACAUAUAUCAUCUAAGAGAAGGCAAAAUAUGACAUCCCAGUGUCCUUUGCUGUAGGGAAAGUCAACCUGUUUGGAAACAGCUGACCCCAUGAAAGAGAAAAAUAGACUCUUAAGACUUUCUCUAUGUACACUUCAAGUCUUCUCCCACAUGAUCUCCCUUCAAGAUAUCAUAUUAAAGUGAUUGUCUACUUUAACUAACCGCUAUCU